UACGUAGGGUGCGAGCGUUAAUCGGAAUUACUGGGCGUAAAGCGUGCGCAGGCGGCGCCGCAAGUCAGGCGUGAAAUCCCCGAGCUUAACUUGGGAAUGGCGCUUGAAACUACGGUGCUGGAGUGUGGCAGAGGGAGGUGGAAUUCCACGUGUAGCGGUGAAAUGCGUAGAGAUGUGGAGGAACACCAGUGGCGAAGGCGACUUUCUGGCCUGUUCUUGACGCUGAGGCGCGAAAGCUAGGGGAGCAAACGGG
rnacentral:rRNA from 1 species